GAUGAACGCUGGCGGCGUGCCUAAUACAUGCCAGUCGAGCGAACGGACGAGAAGCUUGCUUCUCUGAUGUUAGCGGCGGACGGGUGAGUAACACGUGGAUAACCUACCUAUAAGACUGGGAUAACUUCGGGAAACCGGAGCUAAUACCGGAUAAUAUUUUGAACCGCAUGGUUCAAAAGUGAAAGACGGUCUUGCUGUCACUUAUAGAUGGAUCCGCGCUGCAUUAGCUAGUUGGUAAGGUAACGGCUUACCAAGGCAACGAUGCAUAGCCGACCUGAGAGGGUGAUCGGCCACACUGGAACUGAGACACGGUCCAGACUCCUACGGGAGGCAGCAGUAGGGAAUCUUCCGCAAUGGGCGAAAGCCUGACGGAGUAACGCCGCGUGAGUGAUGAAGGUCUUCGGAUCGUAAAACUCUGUUAUUAGGGAAGAACAUAUGUGUAAGUAACUGUGCACAUCUUGACGGUACCUAAUCAGAAAGCCACGGCUAACUACGUG
rnacentral:rRNA from 1 species